UACGUAGGGCGCAAGCGUUGUCCGGAAUUAUUGGGCGUAAAGAGCUCGUAGGCGGUCUGUUACGUCCGCUGUGAAAACCCAGGGCUUAACCCUGGGCUUGCAGUGGAUACGGGUAGACUAGAGGCAGGUAGGGGAGAAUGGAAUUCCCGGUGUAGCGGUGAAAUGCGUAGAUAUCAGGAGGAACACCGGUGGCGAAGGCGGCUAUCUGGACAGAAACUGACGCUGAGGCGCGAAAGCUAGGGGAGCAAACAGG
rnacentral:rRNA from 1 species